rnacentral:rRNA from 1 species
AGUGAACGCUGGCGGCGUGCCUAAUACAUGCAAGUCGAACGGAGUGGCGCACGGGUGAGUAAUGUAUAGCUAAUCUGCCCUACACUAGAGGACACCAGUUGGAAACGACUGCUAAUACUCUAUAGUGUAGGAUGAGGCGAUAUUGUAUCAGCUAGUUGGUGAGGUAAUGGCUCACCAAGGGUAUGACGCAUAACUGGUCUGAGAGGAUGAUCAGGAGCACUGGAACUGAGGCACGGUCCAGAAUUCUACGGGAGGGAGCAGUAGGGAAGACUGCUCAAGGGGUGUGAACCUAAAGCAGCAACGCCGCGUGGAGGAUGACACUUUUCGGAGAGUAAACUCCGUUUGUUAGGGAAGCGUUACCUAACGAAUAAGCACCGGCUAACUCCGUGCCAGCAGCCGCGGUAAUAC